GAGACAUUCAUAUAUAUGAGUGUUUCUUUUAGAUAGCUUCCUUCAGUACCUUAUGAGAAAUCAAAGUCUUUGGGUUCUGGGGCGAGUAUUCGCGCAAGCGAGAAAGUUAAAAGAAUUGACGGAAGGGCACCACCAGGCGUGGAGCUUGCGGCUUAAUUUGACUCAACACGGGGAAACUCACUAGUUUAAGACAAGAGUAGGAUUGACAGAUUAAUAGCUCUUUCUUGAUUUCUUGGAUGGUGAUGCAUGGCCGUUUUUAGUUCGUGAAUAUGAUUUGUCUGGUUAAUUCCGAUAACGAACGAGAUCUUAACCUGCUAAUUAGCGGUAAAUACACUAUAUUCUUAAGUGAAAUUAGAAUAUAGAUAAAUUGUGCUAAUUUUGAUUAAAAUAUUAGAACGUUUUUUUUAAUAAAAACGUUCUUUUCCC
rnacentral:rRNA from 1 species